UUAUGAGGUCGAGAAUUGGACAGUUGGUCACAUUGUGUUUUAUGGACUUCCUUUUAAUAAAACAUUAAUUUUAUUUGUAUGUGUUUUACUAACUGUACUUUUGGCGAUCACUCACACAAAUGCAAUUCUCAGCUUAAGUUGAUAGGACUGUAGCUAGUGAUAUUCUUGAACUACAAGAGAAUAUUACUUGGAGACUACCCUAGGAAACGCGUGAUAUGCCUGAUAAACUACCGCGACAUGCAGUGCCUGGGACAAGAAUAUCAAUAUGACCGACCAAGGCAAAAACACAGGCAAGCACAGGCAGAUGACUUUGACCCAAGUGAUUAUGAUGCGCCUGAGAAUGGAGCACCUGGGGAACAAGGAUCUGACGAUGAAUAUUCCAAUUAGUCGAACCUUACAGUUCCAUUAAAACAUUGUCUCAUUAAUA